rnacentral:rRNA from 1 species
GACGAACCGUGCGAACGUUAUUCGGAAUCACUGGGCUUAAAGCGCGUGUAGGCGGGAGGGCACGUCCGUCGCUGAAAUCCCCCGGCUCAACCGGGGAAGCGGCGCGGAUACGACUCUUCUGGAGGGGCGUAGGGGGACCUGGAACUUCCGGUGGAGCGGUGAAAUGCGUUGAGAUCGGAAGGAACACCGACGGCGCAGGCAGCGUCCUGGCCGCUUGCUGACACUGAGGCACGAAGGCUGGGGGAGCAAACAGG